CCACCACCAAAGCAUUUGCUGUACCGCGUUGACGGAGCGAAGCGACGUCAAACCGAUAAAACAGCAGUGUAAAGUGAGCCGCAGGGCGCUUUGCGCGACAGCGCAAAGGCAGGCGGUUUCGCGUAGCGAAAGCGAAUGCUUUGGGGUGGGGUGACUGCGUACCUUUUGUAUAAUGGGUCAGCGACUUAUAUUCUGUAGCAAGGUUAACCGAAUAGGGGAGCCGGAGGGAAACCGAGUCUUAAUUGGGCGUUAAGUUGCAGGGUAUAGACCCGAAACCCGGUGAUCUAGCCAUGGGCAGGUUGAAGGUUGGGUAACACUAACUGGAGGACCGAACCGACUAAUGUUGAAAAAUUAGCGGAUGACCUGUGGCUGGGGGUGAAAGGCCAAUCAAACCGGGAGAUAGCUGGUUCUCCCCGAAAGCUAUUUAGGUAGCGCCUCGUGAAUUCAUCUCCGGGGGUAGAGCACUGUUUCGGCUAGGGGGCCAUCCCGGCUUACCAACCCGAUGCAAACUGCGAAUACCGGAGAAUGUUAUCACGGGAGACACACGGCGGGUGCUAACGUCCGUCGUGAAGAGGGAAACAACCCAGACCGCCAGCUAAGGUCCCAAAGUCAUGGUUAAGUGGGAAACGAUGUGGGAAGGCCCAGACAGCCAGGAUGUUGGCUUAGAAGCAGCCAUCAUUUAAAGAAAGCGUAAUAGCUCACUGGUCGAGUCGGCCUGCGCGGAAGAUGUAACGGGGCUAAACCAUGCACCGAAGCUGCGGCAGCGACACUGUGUGUUGUUGGGUAGGGGAGCGUUCUGUAAGCCUGUGAAGGUGUGUCGUGAGGCAUGCUGGAGGUAUCAGAAGUGCGAAUGCUGACAUAAGUAACGAUAAAGCGGGUGAAAAGCCCGCUCGCCGGAAGACCAAGGGUUCCUGUCCAACGUUAAUCGGGGCAGGGUGAGUCGACCCCUAAGGCGAGGCCGAAAGGCGUAGUCGAUGGGAAACGGGUUAAUAUUCCCGUACUUGGUGUUACUGCGAAGGGGGGACGGAGAAGGCUAUGUUGGCCGGGCGACGGUUGUCCCGGUUUAAGCGUGUAGGUGUGUGUUCCAGGUAAAUCCGGUUCACUUUAACACUGAGGCGUGACGACGAGGCACUACGGUGCUGAAGCAACAAAUGCCCUGCUUCCAGGAAAAGCCUCUAAGCAUCAGGUAACAUCAAAUCGUACCCCAAACCGACACAGGUGGUCAGGUAGAGAAUACCAAGGCGCUUGAGAGAACUCGGGUGAAGGAACUAGGCAAAAUGGUGCCGUAACUUCGGGAGAAGGCACGCUGACACGUAGGUGAAGUGAUUUACUCAUGGAGCUGAAGUCAGUCGAAGAUACCAGCUGGCUGCAACUGUUUAUUAAAAACACAGCACUGUGCAAACACGAAAGUGGACGUAUACGGUGUGACGCCUGCCCGGUGCCGGAAGGUUAAUUGAUGGGGUCAGCGCAAGCGAAGCUCCUGAUCGAAGCCCCGGUAAACGGCGGCCGUAACUAUAACGGUCCUAAGGUAGCGAAAUUCCUUGUCGGGUAAGUUCCGACCUGCACGAAUGGCGUAAUGAUGGCCAGGCUGUCUCCACCCGAGACUCAGUGAAAUUGAACUCGCUGUGAAGAUGCAGUGUACCCGCGGCAAGACGGAAAGACCCCGUGAACCUUUACUAUAGCUUGACACUGAACAUUGAGCCUUGAUGUGUAGGAUAGGUGGGAGGCUUUGAAGUGUGGACGCCAGUCUGCAUGGAGCCGACCUUGAAAUACCACCCUUUAAUGUUUGAUGUUCUAACGUGGACCCGUUACCCGGGUUGCGGACAGUGUCUGGUGGGUAGUUUGACUGGGGCGGUCUCCUCC
rnacentral:rRNA from 1 species